UACGAACUGUGCGAACGUUAUUCGGAAUCACUGGGCUUACAGGGUGCGUAGGCGGCUAUUCAGGUCAGGUGUGAAAGCCCUCGGCUCAACCGAGGAACUGCGCUUGAAACCGUAUGGCUCGAGUCAGCUAGAGGUACACGGAACUUCCAGUGGAGCGGUGAAAUGUGUUGAUAUUGGAAGGAACACCGGAGGCGAAAGCGGUGUACUGGGGCUGGUCUGACGCUGAGGCACGAAAGCGUGGGGAGCAAACAGG
rnacentral:rRNA from 1 species